UAAAGCCCUUUUAGUGGGAACGAUGGUGACGGUACCCCCAGAAAAAGCCACGGCUAACUCCGUGCCAGCAGCCGCGGUAAUACGGAGGUGGCGAGCGUUGUUCGGAAUUACUGGGCGUAAAGCGCGCGUAGGCGGCAUGCCAAGUCAGAAGUGAAAUCCCUGGGCUUAACCCAGGAACUGCUUUUGAAACUGGUAAGCUAGAGUCCGGCAGAGGAUGGCGGAAUUCCCCGUGUAGAGGUGAAAUUCGUAGAUAUGGGGAGGAACACCAGAGGCGAAGGCGGCCAUCUGGACCGGUACUGACGCUGAGGCGCGAAAGCGUGGGGAGCGAACAGGAUUAGAUACCCUGGUAGUCCACGCUGUAAACGAUGAGUGCUGGUUGUCGCGGGUAUCGACCCCUGCGGUAACGAAGCAAACGCGUUAAGUACUCCGCCUGGGGAGUACGGCCGCAAGGCUAAAACUCAAAGGAAUUGACGGGGGCCCGCACAAGCGGUGGAGCAUGUGGUUUAAUUCGAUGCAACGCGAAGAACCUUACCCACUCUUGACAUCCCAGGGACCUUACGGAGACGUAGGGGUGCCUUUCGGGGAACCUGGAGACAGGUGCUGCAUGGCUGUCGUCAGCUCGUGUCGCGAGAUGUUGGGUUAAGUCCCGCAACGAGCGCAACCCUUACCUUCAGUUGCCAUCGGGUAGAGCCGGGCACUCUGGAGGGACUGCCGGUGUCAAGCCGGAGGAAGGUGGGGACGACGUCAAGUCAUCAUGGCCUUUAUGAGUGGGGCUACACACGUGCUACAAUGGCGAGCACAAAGGGCAGCGAUAGGGCGACCUGUAGCAAAUCCCAAAAAACUCGUCUCAGUUCAGAUUGCAGU
rnacentral:rRNA from 1 species